rnacentral:rRNA from 1 species
UUUAUGGAGAGUUUGAUCCUGGCUCAGGAUGAACGCUGGCGGCGUGCCUAAUACAUGCAAGUCGAGCGAACAGACAAGGAGCUUGCUCCUUUGACGUUAGCGGCGGACGGGUGAGUAACACGUGGGUAACCUACCUAUAAGACUGGGAUAACUUCGGGAAACCGGAGCUAAUACCGGAUAAUAUUUCGAACCGCAUGGUUCGAUAGUGAAAGAUGGUUUUGCUAUCACUUAUAGAUGGACCCGCGCCGUAUUAGCUAGUUGGUAAGGUAACGGCUUACCAAGGCGACGAUACGUAGCCGACCUGAGAGGGUGAUCGGCCACACUGGAACUGAGACACGGUCCAGACUCCUACGGGAGGCAGCAGUAGGGAAUCUUCCGCAAUGGGCGAAAGCCUGACGGAGCAACGCCGCGUGAGUGAUGAAGGUCUUCGGAUCGUAAAACUCUGUUAUUAGGGAAGAACAUACGUGUAAGUAACUAUGCACGUCUUGACGGUACCUAAUCAGAAAG